ensembl:lncRNA
GUUUACAUGUGUUUAAUAGCGUUUUAUUUAAUGAAACCAUUAUGUGUUUUAAUUAAACUCUUUUUUUAAAGGAUUGUAUAGGUCUCAGAGUUCUGUUAUUUAGACAUAGAUGAUUUAAUUUAACUAGUUAAGGGGUAUUUUUCUUUAGGGCUCUGAAACACACAGAGGCUAAUAGUUUUUAAACAGAAAGUUUUUUCCACCUUCUAAAAACACAUAUUCACACACAGCAUUUAAUUUAACUAGUUUUAGGGGUAUUUUGCUUUUUCUUUAGGGCUCUGAAACACACAGGGGUGUAAUAGUUUCAAACAGAAUACCACAAACAGCAUGCAUUCCUUUAGAAAUGGGAUUCUUAAUUCUGCAACUGCUAGACAGAGGGGGGUUACAGUUAGACCCCCUACAGUCAGCAGAAGAGGUCAUCCUUAUCAAGAGCAUCUCAAUUGUACUGCCAUAGUUUUCAAUACAAACAGUCUCCUUUAUCUUAUGGCAGAGUGCCGGCGGUGCCAGGUCCAUCGGUGCCACCAUACCUUUUAUCAUGCCAUUACACUUUCUACUGACCAUCCUCCAAACAGGCAUCACCUUUUGUUUACACCUGAAACCAACCCCAACCCCAAGGGACUGUAAUGACACCUCCUAGAGGACUGCUCCAAUACAUAUAAAAACGGUCUCUUUCACCAUUUGGAACAUCAACAGCGCAACCUAAAGAACACCUCUAACUAGCUAACUAAGGAGUGCAGGAUGACGUCGGCAUCAACCAUGACGAACAGCCAGAACAUCACCCAAGCCACAGAAGCUCUAGAGCGAGACAUGCAAGCGUGGGACCUCUCAGACUCCCCACCGCCUGCGCUGCUAAUCCAGACCCCACCACAUCCUCCCCCCUCUCCUCAGCUGCUGCAGGAUCCUACAGGAUCGGGUCUGUGUGAGGAAACCAUUAUCGACAUCAAGCUUGCAACCCAUCACAUGGUGAUGUUGGCAUUAAACGCCUUUCUACAGGAAACAUGCGGAUGUCGAACAGCUCAACCCAGUCAGGUGCAACACAGUUGUUUGCUCGAACUGCACGAGCAUUUUACUUUUAAUUUAACUAGUUUAGGAGCAUUUUGCUUUUCUUUACCGCUCUGAAACACACAGAGGCUAAUAGUUUUCAAACAGUGUCACAAAUAACAUGUAUUCCUUUAGAAAUAAACUAUGAUACUUCUAAAAACAAACAAACACAUAUUCUUUCCUCAUCACUAGCCAAUUCACCAUUUUAUUUAAAUAUCUGAAUUUUCGGAAUAAUGAUCCAAGCGGGACACAGAGGCUGCUAGUUUAACGCACCAGAAUGCAAAUAUAAAUAAAUGCAUGACUAUCCUGAGAGCUAACUGCAGCGACACCUUUCUUUCAGACGGAUGCCUGGAUGUGCGUUGGAGCCGACUUUGCUACCCGCACACAGCGUUUCUGACCUACGGGCGCUGCUUAUACAACAGAGAAAAGCAACAAUACAGCGUGUUUCUCUGCUCCAAGACAUCGGCGGGCCUUUCACACGGUAAGCAUGUCUGUUAUACCCAGCGCAUAAAUGUCUGUAUGUCAGUGCUGAUUAUACAAACCCUGUUUAAAAUGUGACACAUAUGUUGUCCGAAAACAAAUCCUCUAAAUUUGCAAAGUUACUGAUUUAAAAAUAUAUUUUCGAAUUUUUAGUUGCAUGACAAACAUACGAUAGACUCUUGAGCGUAUUUAUUUAUAUAGCUACAUUCACAACGGUACAACCAUGCUAAAUAAAAGAUGCCCAAGCACCAAAGCACUCUAAUGCAAGCCUCUGAACUACAUGUUGAUAAGUGCAUGAAGUUAACCUCUACAGCUGAAAACAGUUUGUAUCCGCACUCUGAGGGUCUACUGAAUUGUUUUUAAUAUUGCGCUUUUUCACGAACUGCAGAUGAUGAAUUCCUCUUUAUUGGACAUAAUGUCCUUAAGCUAUUGUUGCUCAUACUUACAGAGUUCCCUAGCUAGUUCUUUACUAUGUCAGUAAACUUUUCGAAAAGGAAGGUGUUGUAGAUUUAAAGAAACAUCCUAAUUGAAGCAAAGGCAAAAAAUUGGAACGAAUUUUAUGUGACUGUUCAUAUUAAAGCCAACAACAAGUGAAAAUCCAAAACCGACUCCAAUGCUUUGUAUUAAUGAUCUCCCCCUCUCUCUCUCUCUCUCUCUCUCUCUCUCUCUCUCUCUCUGUGUGUGUGUGUGUGUGUGUGUGUGUGUGAGUGUGUGUGUGUGUGCCCUCACAGAAGGAAGGUCACAGCAGGAGCUUUUUCAAACGCGUUUCCAAUCAUCUUUACAAGAAGUGUAGCUCAUACAAUGGUAUUAUUGUAUUAUUUGCGAUACUUUAUAAAUAUGAAACUCUAAAGAUUUGGAGUUCAUGCAAAUUGUGAAACAAGAAUCUAAAUAUUUGUGUCACAGUGAUUUCUAUAAAAACAUGUUGUUUAUGGGGAUAAUGUAACAAAUCUUUUGUGGCCCUAUUAAUGAUCAAUGGUAAUUGAAGAGGAAGCUGAACCCCGGCUCUGGACAUUUUCAGGACAAGCGACAGCGCAGACAUCUACUAAUGAGAGAACAUGUUUUAUCAUCAUAAACACUGUGAUAUGAAGCAUCGUUAAAGUGUCACUUCAGUAAUGUUUUAAUAGAUGACUUUAAAACACUAAACUCUAAUUUCUGUGGUUUAUUUUAAGUUUACAGAAUAUAACAUGUGGUAAGACGACGAGUUUUACUUCUCACAAGUUGUGAUAUGUGUAUCUAUUAUCAUGUAUGCUACUUUGCUCUGUGGACUGUAAAAUGUUUCAUUGUGUUCAUGAAAUAAACCAAACUUUCACCGUCUGCAUCUUUUACUGUUUUUCUGCUUUGUACACUCCAAGUUUGACAAACCCACAGACAUCCAGAGUUAACUUGCUAACAAUGU